GUCCCCGUAGCGCGAUGGAUAGCGCGCGCGCAUUGGACUUCUAAUCCAAAGGUCGUGGGUUUGAAUCCUACCUGGGAUG